CAGGUGUACUGUAGACUGAUGAUGCUUUGCUAGUGUAGGAAUGUAGAAAUAGGCCCUUCCUGUUGCAUAGACUUAUCUAGCUCCUUAUGUGCUGAGUGACUUGUUGUGGAGUGCUGUGCUGGGGUACAGGCACGGAUGUCUGAUAUACAGAGUGACAUACUGUAGGGCUGCUGGGGAUGAGUGGGUGUUUGAGGUCAUACGGUAAUAUACAGUGAGGGAAAAACAUAUUUGAUCCCCUGCUGAUUUUGUACGUUUGCCCACUGACAAAGAAAUGAUCAGUGUAUAAUUUUAAUGGUAGGUUUAUUUGAACAGUGAGAGACAGAAUAACAACAAAAAACUUCAGAAAAACGCAAGUGAAAAAUGUUAUAAAAUGAUUUGCAUUUUAAUGAGGGAAAUAAGUAUUUGACCCCUCUGCAAAACAUGACUUAGUACUUGGUGGCAAAACCCUUGUUGGCAAUCACAGAGGUCAGACGUUUCUUGUAGUUGGCCACCAGGUUUGCACACAUCUCAGGAGGGAUUUUGUCCCACUCCUCUUUGCAGAUCUUAACCAAGUCAUUAAGGUUUCGAAGCUGACAUUUGGCAACUCGAACCUUCAGCUCCCUCCACAGAUUUUCUAUGGGAUUAAGGUCUGGAGACUGGCUAGGCCACUCCAGGACCUUAAUGUGCUUCUUCCUGAGCCACUCCUUUGUUGUCUUGGCUGUGUGUUUUGGGUCAUUGUCAUGCUGGAAUACCCAUCCACGUCCCAUUUUCAAUGCCCUGGCUGAGGGAAGGAGGUUCUCACCCAAGAUUUGAUGGUACAUGGCCCCGUCCAUCGUCCCUUUGAUGCAGUGAAGUUGUCCUGUCCCCUUAGCAGAAAAACACUCGCAAAGCAUCAUGUUUCCACCUCCAUGUUUGACGGUGGGGAUGGUGUUCUUGGGGUCCAAACACGGCGAGUUGAGUUGAUGCCAAAGAGCUCCAUUUUGGUCUCAUCUGACCACAACACUUUCACCCAGUUGUCCUCUGAAUCAUUCAGAUGUUCAUUGGCAAACUUCAGAUGGGCAUGUAUAUGUGCUUUCUUGAGCAGGGGGACCUUUCGGGCGCUGCAGGAUUUCAGUCCUUCACGGCGUAGUGUGUUACCAAUUGUUUUCUUGGUGACUAUGGUCCCAGCUGCCUUGAGAUCAUUGACAAGAUCCUCCCGUGUAGUUCUGGGCUGAUCCCUCACCAUUCUCAUGAUCAUUGCAACUCCACGAGGUGAGAUCUUGCAUGGAGCCCCAGGCAGAGGGAGAUUGACAGUUAUUUUGUAUUUCUUCCAUUUGCGAAUAAUCGCACCAACUGUUGUCACCUUCUCACCCAAGCUGCUUGGUGAUGGUCUUGUAGCCCAUUCCAGCCUUGUGUAGGUCUACAAUCUUGUCCCUGACAUCCUUGGAGAGCUCUUUGGUCUUGGCCAUGGUGGAGAGUUUGGAAUCUGAUUGAUUGAUUGCUUCUGUGGACAGGUGUCUUUUAUACAGGUAACAAGCUGAGAUUAGGAGCACUCCCUUUAAGAGUGUGCUCCUAAUCUCAGCUCGUUACCUGUAUAAAAGACACCUGGGAGCCAGAAAUCUUUCUGAUUGAGAGGGGGUCAAAUACUUAUUUUCCCUCAUUAAAAUGCAAAUCAAUUUAUAGCAUUUUUGACAUGCAAUUUUUGUUGUUGUUAUUCUUUCUCUCACUGUUCAAAUAAACCUACCAUUACAAUUAUAUACUGAUCAUUUCUUUGUCAGUGGGCAAACGUACAAAAUCAGCAGGGGAUCAAAUACUUUUUUCCCUCACUGUACACUGACUAUACAAAAUAUUAACAACACAAUUUUGAUGGUGGCCACAAAAAAAUCUGAACUCAUCAGGAGCGGCUACAGUGGCUCGCUAGACUGCAUAGCCACAACCCUCUUGACAGUGAAGAUAAAAAGUUGAAGUUUUAAAGAUAAUAUCCUGCAAUUCUACACAUUUUGACAUGGGGCGUAGAGAAAAUGUUGAAAUUUUAUGACUUAUUUCAUGCAAUUCUACUAAUUUUGCCAUGGGGUGGAGAUACAUGUUUGCAGUUUCUAGUAUGAUAUCUGAGGGAAAGUGACAAACAAAACAAAACAAAUAUAUAUAUGUUAAUAUACAGUACAAGUCCAAAGUUUGGACACACUCAUUCAUUGUUUUUUCUUUAUUUUUACUAUUUUCUACAUUGUAGAAUAAUAGUGCUGACAUCACAACUAUGAAAUAACACAUGUGGAAUCAUGUAGUAAGCAAAAAAGUGUUAAACAAAUCAAAAUAUAUUUUAUAUUUGAGAAUCUUCAAAGUAGCCAGACUUUGCCUUGAUGACAGCUUUGCACACUCUUUUUCCAUCCUUGAGAUGUUUCUUCAAUUUGAUUGGAGUCCACCUGUGGUCAAUUUAAAUAAUUGGACAUGAUUUGGAAAGGCACAUACCUGUCUAUAUAAGGUCCCACAGUUGACAGUGCAUGUCAGAGGAAAAACCAAGCCACGAGGUCAAAGGAAUUGUCCCUAGAGCUCCGAGACAGGAUUGUGUCGAGGCACAGAUCUGGGGAUGGGUACCAAAACAUUUCUACAGCAUUGAAGGUCCCCAAGAACACAGUGGCCUCUAUUAUUCUUAAACGGAAGACGUUUGGAACCAUCAAGACUUUUCCUAGAGCUGGCCGCCCGGCCAAACUGAGCAAUCGGGGGAAAAGGGCCUUGGUCAGGGAGGUGACCAAGAACCAGAUGGUCACUCUGUCACUCUGACAGAGCUCCAGAUUUCCUCUGUGGAGAUGGGAGAACCUUCCAGAAGGUCAACCAUCUCUGCAGGACUCCACCAAUCAGGCCUUUAUGGUAGAGUGGCCAGAUGGAAGCCGCUCCUCAGUAAAAGGCACAUGAGAGCCUGCUUGGAGUUUGCCAAAAGGCACCUAAACGACUCUCAGACCAUGAGAAACAAGAUUCUCUGGUCUGAUGAAACCAAGAUUGAACUCUAUGGCCUGAAUGCCAAGCGUCACAUCUGGAGGAAACCUGGCACCAUUCCUACGGUGAAGCAUGGCGGUGGCAGCGUCAUGCUGUGGGAUGUUUAUCAGUGGCAGGGACUGAGAGACUAGUCAGGAUUGAGGCAAAGAUGAACAGAACAAAGUACAGAGAGAUCCUUGAUGAAAACCUGCUUCAGAGCGCUCAGGACCUCAGACUGGGUUCACCUUCCAACAGGACAACAACCCUAAGGACACAGCCAAGACAAGGCAGGAGUAGCUUUGGGUCUCUGAAUGUCCUUGAGUGGCCCAGCCAGAGCCCGAACUUGAACUCGAUUGAACAUCUCUGGAGAGACCUGAAAAUACCUGUGCAGCGACGCUCCCCAUCCAACCUGACAGAGCUUGAGAGGAUCUGCAGAGAAGGAUGGGAAAAAUUCCCCAACUACAGGUGUGCUGAGCGUUCCGAGGGGGUAGGGCCUUGAGCCUCGCCCAUGGCCAAACUGAGGCCCUGGGAACCUGGACUUGGUGGAGACAGCAUUAACAUGCUGGCAUUACUCACUUCAGUUUUAGCAUAUUACUCUGACUGAGCAAAUUUCAGGUCUGCUGAGCGCAAACUUCAACAUUGUGAGUUACUAUGAGCACUGAGGCUGUACCCGCUUUAAGUUACUUUUUCAAAGUGGCCAAGUAGGCUACUUUGGCUAUUUGAUCAUAAUGUGAAUGGCCUACCAUCAACAACAAUGAAGAAAAAUGCAUCCCAUAACAUGUUUACAUGGAAAUAGCUGUUCUAUCAUUUAGCCUACAGGAGCAGCGAAUGUGUGGUGUUCAAUGUCGGUCUACAUUCCAUGACACUUUUGAAAAAACAUGCAAGGCUUGACAUUAACCUGUUUAUCCACUUGUCCUUCAGACAAGGAAGUGACUGAAAAUGCUGUGUUGUUUGAUGCAAGAACCCACUGUACAAAAUAAAAUGCAUUAUUAUUC
rnacentral:lncRNA from 1 species